CUAGCUGGUCUGAGAGGAUGACCAGCCACACUGGAACUGAGACACGGUCCAGACUCCUACGGGAGGCAGCAGUGGGGAAUAUUGCACAAUGGGCGCAAGCCUGAUGCAGCCAUGCCGCGUGUAUGAAGAAGGCCUUCGGGUUGUAAAGUACUUUCAGCGGGGAGGAAGGGAGUAAAGUUAAUACCUUUGCUCAUUGACGUUACCCGCAGAAGAAGCACCGGCUAACUCCGUGCCAGCAGCCGCGGUAAUACGGAGGGUGCAAGCGUUAAUCGGAAUUACUGGGCGUAAAGCGCACGCAGGCGGUUUGUUAAGUCAGA
rnacentral:rRNA from 1 species